UAAGGAAUAUUGGUCAAUGGGCGGAAGCCUGAACCAGCCAUGCCGCGUGCAGGAAGACGGCCCUACGGGUUGUAAACUGCUUUUAUACUGGAAUAAACCUUUCUACGAGUAGAGAGCUGAAUGUACAGUAAGAAUAAGGAUCGGCUAACUCCGUGCCAGCAGCCGCGGUAAUACGGAGGAUCCAAGCGUUAUCCGGAUUUAUUGGGUUUAAAGGGUGCGUAGGCGGCCUAUUAAGUCAGGGGUGAAAGACGGUAGCUUAACUAUCGCAGUGCCUUUGAUACUGAUGGGCUUGAAUGUACUUGAGGUAGGCGGAAUGUGACAAGUAGCGGUGAAAUGCAUAGAUAUGUCACAGAACACCAAUUGCGAAGGCAGCUUACUAAAGUAUGAUUGACGCUGAGGCACGAAAGCGUGGGGAUCAAACAG
rnacentral:rRNA from 1 species